UCCUACGGGAGGCAGCAGUGGGGAAUUUUGGACAAUGGGCGCAAGCCUGAUGCAGCCAUGCCGCGUGUAUGAAGAAGGCCUUCGGGUUGUAAAGUACUUUCACCGGAGAAGAUAAUGACGGUAUCCGGAGAAGAAGCCCCGGCUAACUUCGUGCCAGCAGCCGCGGUA
rnacentral:rRNA from 1 species